rnacentral:rRNA from 1 species
GAUGAACGCUGGCGGCGUGCCUAAUACAUGCAAGUCGAGCGAACAGAUGAGGAGCUUGCUCCUCUGACGUUAGCGGCGGACGGGUGAGUAACACGUGGAUAACCUACCUAUAAGACUGGGAUAACUUCGGGAAACCGGAGCUAAUACCGGAUAAUAUAUUGAACCGCAUGGUUCAAUAGUGAAAGACGGUUUUGCUGUCACUUAUAGAUGGAUCCGCGCCGCAUUAGCUAGUUGGUAAGGUAACGGCUUACCAAGGCAACGAUGCGUAGCCGACCUGAGAGGGUGGUCGGCCACACUGGAACUGAGACACGGUCCAGACUACUACGGGAGGCAGCAGUAGGGAAUCUUCCGCAAUGGGCGAAAGCUUGACGGAGCAACGCCGCGUGAGUGAUGAAGGUCUUCGGAUCGUAAAACUCUGUUAUUAGGGAAGAACAAAUGUGUAAGUAACUAUGCACGUCUUGACGGUACCUAAUCAGAAAGCCACGGCUAACUACGUG